AGAAAAUGUAAACUGCUACUCGGGCCGCAACUGUUUGACGUCAUAACAACAUAAUUAUGAAGCAGGAGACGAUCUUGUAGACGGUCUUGAAGCAGUCAUUGGAAGGACAAACCCUUCAUGCAAACUGCACCUUCUAUCAAGAAGAAGAAGGGCAGAAAUAGUUCAAGAGAGAUGCAUUUUCAGAGACACUCGUGUACAAAACACCUGGAUUAUUCUAUGGACAGAAGUGGUCAGAUAUGGUCUUCUACUAAAUGCUGCCAUCCAGGAGUGAAAGCUGCAUCUAGGUGUAAUGGCCAAAACUUAUGAAUCAGUCACAUCUACAUUUCUGACAUUGUUGGAUUCACAGAGCUGUCUUCAGAAAGAAUGCCCAUUCAGGUAAGGACCACGCAGCAGAAAUGGUUUCCAUGGCUCCGGACCUACUCCAGUGGCUCCGGAGACCCUUCUCCUUCCUUCUGUGCCUGGAGAAAAGAUCCAGAUUAGGAUGGGUGUACACUCUGGGCUGGUGUUGUUGGCAUGAGUGGGGCAGGCACCAGGAUGCCUUGGUACUGCCUAUAGAAUGGAGUCGACCGCACUACUGAGUACAUAAGAUACAAUUGUGGUAUCAACGCCUCUUCAACGCCUAUCAACGUAUCGAUGAUGCCUGCGUCGACCAGGAAGCUUGGUCGACGCAGGAGGCCUGGUUGACGACCGGGCCGUGGGAAUGCUAAGCCCCAGAAGCACCUUAAGGUAAGGU